GUGAGAGACAGUGUGUGUGUGUGUGUGUGUGUGUGUGUGUGUGUGUGAAUGAAUGUUAUUUUCAUUCUUUUUGUUUUAACCGUUGCUUUUUCGUAUUCAUCUGCAGGGGGACAAAGUGUGCGGACUGUGUUUCAGGAACUAUGCUAAUCUCAAGCAGCACCUCAAGGUCUCGCACUCGGUGCCCAACAAAGAUGAGUUUUCACUUCUGCUAAAAUACGGGAACGCCAGGUAAUAACGUACAUUCGUCCACAUGACAAAAGGGGACAUUUUGUAAGUCCAAAUUGUGAAAUUGUCAUUCUGCAUUCCCUACUCCAGGACCACCCAGCGGCUGUCAUGCCAAAUUUGCAAUAGGCGCAACCUGGUCAGACUCAACAAGCACCUCAUCGAGGUCCACCUGCUGCCUUUAGAGGUAAGGGUUAAAGCAACGUAAAUCCUUCAAAUGUGGUGUGAAAUGGCAAUAGAAAUGGUUUCGUGUCCAAAUGUGUCACUUUGUAUCUGUAGGAUCGGGAGUUCACCCUCAAGGAGGCCAAGCGGGUGAGCAUAGUGAAGGAGUUUGCGGCACUGAGGAGGACCGAGCCUCAGGUGCCCAUGGUGUCCUCGCUUGAUGUGCAGUGCGACUACGACGAAGGUAAAUUUACACUGUGACGAGUGAAUUUGUCUAUGAAAGUUUCACUGUUGUACACAGUACAUGUGUCCCUGACCCGUCUGUUGUUUAACAUUGCAGGCGAGGCACCAGACAUGGAAGAGGACGACGACGACCCAAACGAGGCCGACCAGGCGAGUGAGGGGGAGGAAGCGCCGCUCCUCCACCUCUCCCUCAGCGAGGACUCCGAGGCUGGCGACGGCACCAUCGGCGGCCCCGUGCUUGCGUCGACACCGCAACGCUCGACAGUCGCCAGCCUCGGAGUCCCCCAACAGGGGGCCGUCGCCUGUCCCUCUUGGGCCCCCUCGGCCGCCGACCCCCCCUUGGCCAUCGCCCCGCCCAGCGGAGCCCAACCCACCGGUGUGGAGACUGCCAGCUCGCCGCAGUCCGCUAGCGCUGCCGCCUCCUCAAGCGGACUCGGUAGCCUCGGCAGCCACAACACCUCCGCCCUUGGCCCGGAUACCACCUGCCACUGCGGCUGCCAGAGCCUGGGGGAGAGGGUGAAAGUCCUUGAGGAUAGAGUGAGGCACCUGAUGCAGCGUCAGGAGGGCGCCGGCACGCCCAAAACUCCCAGGGGUGUGCCGGCGACCCUCACCACGUCGGCGCAAAAACACGAACACGUGGCGAAGCUGGGCAAGUCGGGGAAGGUCUUCGAGCUCGCGGUGGAAGACUACCGCAAGUUCAGGCUGGGAGGCAAAUUGGCGGCCAAGGACCGGGAGAACGCCAGGCAGUCAGCAAGCCACGCGCUGCGGUUCUGCCUAUACAUGGCGUCGACCCUGCCCGACAAGGCGGUCGCCAGCGACUUGAAAUUCCUCUUGCAGACGGACAAGCUGCGGGGGUAAGUGUGUUUUUUUUUUUUUUUUUUUUUUUUUUGGUCAGAGUGAUGAGAAAAUGGAAUUACGUGUUUGCAAGUAUGGGAAGUCUUUCAUCACUUACGAUUGCUUGCCUUCUCUUUUAGGUGGCCGCAGUACCUUCGGCAGAAGGGCUAUGCUGCCACCACCAUCCGCAACAUGCUCAACAAUGUGGUCACCUUCGUCCGGCACGUCCAAUGCUCCUUUACUAAACAGAGCAAGUUGAGAGCCUCCGACUUCCCCAAGCUCUUAUAUGAGUUCAAGCAGCUGAUGGCCGCCGUCCACAAGAACGUGGUGGUCCAUCGGCAAAAAGUGUCAAAGAGAAAGACCGGUAACGUUUCAUGUCGUCGUCGCCGUGUCAUUGUUGUUUUUACAUCCCGUCGUGUCUAAAGUUGUGACUUCGAACCUCUAAAAUGGGCUGCUUGCCACACUGUUUUCACAGAUGACCAGCUGGCGGCCUCCAACGAGGUGAAAUUCCUCCAGAUUUCCAAG
ensembl:lncRNA